UGCCCUAGUAACGGCGAGUGAAGCGGCAACAGCUCAAAUUUGAAAGCUAGCCUUCGGGUUCGCAUUGUAAUUUGUAGAGGAUGAUUUGGGGAAGCCGCCUGUCUAAGUUCCUUGGAACAGGACGUCAUAGAGGGUGAGAAUCCCGUAUGUGACAGGAAAUGGCACCCUAUGUAAAUCUCCUUCGACGAGUCGAGUUGUUUGGGAAUGCAGCUCUAAAUGGGAGGUAAAUUUCUUCUAAAGCUAAAUAUUGGCGAGAGACCGAUAGCGCACAAGUAGAGUGAUCGAAAGAUGAAAAGCACUUUGGAAAGAGAGUUAAAAAGCACGUGAAAUUGUUGAAAGGGAAGCGCUUGCAAUCAGACUUGUUUAAACUGUUCGGCCGGUCUUCUGACCGGUUUACUCAGUUUGGACAGGCCAGCAUCAGUUUCGGCGGCCGGAUAAAGGCUCUGGGAAUGUGGCCUCCACUUCGGUGGAGGUGUUAUAGCCCAGGGUGUAAUACGGCCAGCCGGGACUGAGGUCCGCGCUUCGGCUAGGAUGCUG
rnacentral:rRNA from 1 species